rnacentral:rRNA from 1 species
CAGCAGCAGCCGCGGUAAUGCGAAGGGGGCUAGCGUUGUUCGGAUUUACUGGGCGUAAAGGGCGCGUAGGCGGACUGAUAAGUCAGGGGUGAAAUCCCAAGGCUCAACCUUGGAACUGCCUUUGAUACUGUUUGUCUUGAGUUCGAGAGAGGUAAGUGGAACUGCGAGUGUAGAGGUGAAAUUCGUAGAUAUUCGCAAGAACACCAGUGGCGAAGGCGGCUUACUGGCUCGAAACUGACGCUGAGGAGCGAAAGCGUGGGGAGCGAACAGGAUUAGAUACCCCAGUAGUCCCUGUCUCUUAUAC